CAGUCCACGGGGCCACAAAGAAUUGGACACGACUGAGUGACUGAGCACACGAGAAUAGUACUUGCCUCUCAGAGACAUUGUGGAGAUCAAAUGAGGCGACCCCGUAUCAAAUAUUCAACUUAGGUUCCUGUUGCUGUUAUUGCUACUUGCACUACCUACUACUGUUAUGGUAGAACAUGAGUUAGCAACAGCCCCCAAAAUAGAUUGAAACUGUUAUCCACAAAUAAUUAAGGAUUUUUAGCUCCUGAAGGUUAUUUUAUGUAUUCAUUCCAGACUCACAGCUAUUCAGUGACAACUGUGCUUUGCUUAUAAACAUUUGGCCACCAGAUGUUGCCUGUCUUAUGUGUGUGGAUCGUUCUGGCAAUUGAUGAAAAAUAGCUUCCUGCUAAGCCAGCAUAAUGAAUAUUGACGUUCUUGGCGUUCACAGCCAAUAGAAAUCACAUUUUCAAGUCUCCAUUUCCAAGCUCUCCUCUGAAAAGAAGUCUUUAUGAUGAGGUUCUGUCCCCACUUCAAGUCUUCUAGGAUUUCACAGAACUGGAGAACCUUUGUGGAUCUUGGGUAUCACCUUUGCCAAGCCUCAUAUACCCCAGGCACUAAGCGGAGAGUUCAGAGUCCACUGGAGAGGCGGCCGAGCACGAUCAGCGCGGACAGGCCUCAGUUGGAGUCCAGGCCCUAUGCAUUCCUUCUUCAGUUUGACUAACACGUGAUACAUGUGUGUUUGAGUUAUAGUAUAGGAGGGAUCACAGACACUUGCAGGGGAACCUGCAGUCAGCCUAACUCAGUGAAGCAGUCAGAUAGAAGGAAACAGACACUGAAGUGUUACCAAGCCCAAGCUCGCUCUGCUCACUGCAUGGCAGGCCAGUGCCUCCACGAGAUGAGGUGUUGAGGCGAGAACAUGACUUUAUUCAGAAAGCCGACUGACAGAGAAGGCGGCAGGCCAGUGUCUCAGAGUGACCAUCGUGCCUGGGGCUUCAUGCCGGGCUCUUUUACAGUCAGAGAGAGGGAAGCAGUGAGGAGCUGAAGCAAAGGCAGAAGGGGGCAGAGGCAGCGGGUGUAACACGAAAGGGAGGGAGAGGGCCAGGGAAGUGGGCUGAAGGGUCUUCA